rnacentral:rRNA from 1 species
CCUACGGGGGGCAGCAGUGAGGAAUAUUGGUCAAUGGCCGCGAGCCUGAACCAGCCAAGUCGCGUGAAGGAUGACGGUCCUAUGGAUUGUAAACCUCUUUUGUCAGGGAGCAAAGGGCGCCACGUGUGGCUCUUUGCGAGUACCUUAAGAAAAAGCAUCGGCUAACUCCGUGCCAGCAGCCGCGGUAAUACGGAGGAUGCGAGCGUUAUCCGGAUUUCUUGGGUUUAAAGGGUGCGAAGGGGGAAUGUAAAGUCAGUGGUAAAAUUUGGGGGCUAAACCCAGUCGUUACGUUGAAACUGGCGUUCUUGAGUGAGGGAGAAGUAGGCGGAAUGCGUGGUGGAGCGGUGAAAUGCAUAGAUAUCACGAAGAACUCCGAUUGCGAAGGCAGCAUACUGGCGCUCAACUGACGCUGAUGCACGAAAGCGUGGGUAUCGAACAGGAUUAGAUACCCGUGUAGUC